rnacentral:rRNA from 1 species
UUGAACGCUGGCGGAAUGCUUUACACAUGCAAGUCGAGCGGCAGCGCGGGGGCAACCUUGGCGGCGAGCGGCGAACGGGUGAGUAACAUAUCGGAACGUACCCAGACGUGGGGGACAACUAGUCGAAAGACUAGCUAAUACCGCAUACGUCCUGAGGGAGAAAGCGGGGGAUCGCAAGACCUCGCGCGUUUGGAGCGGCCGAUAUCUGAUUAGCUAGAUGGUGGGGUAAAGGCUCACCAUGGCGACGAUCAGUAGCUGGGCUGAGAGGAUGAUCAGCCACACUGGAACGGAGACACGGUCCAGACUCCUACGGGAGGCAGCAGUGGGGAAUUUUGGACAAUGGGGGAAACCCUGAUCCAGCCAGGCCGCGUGAGUGAAGAAGGCCUUCGGGUUGUAAAGCUCUUUCGGCAGGAACGAAACGGCGGAAUCUAAUACAGUCCACUAAUGACGGUACCUGAAGAAGAAGCACCGGCUAACUACGU